rnacentral:rRNA from 1 species
CAUUAAAGAGUUCUAUAACUCCCAAACCCAUGUGAACAUACCUAACGUUGCCUCGGCAGGUCGCACCUACCUUGUAGCACCCUACCCUGUAGGGCCUACCCGGGAGGUGCGGGUAAGCCUGCCGGCGGCCCACCAAACUCUGUUUGAUAUUGAAUUCUGAACCUAUAACUAAAUAAGUUAAAACUUUCAACAACGGAUCUCUUGGUUCUGGCAUCGAUGAAGAACGCAGCGAAAUGCGAUAAGUAAUGUGAAUUGCAGAAUUCAGUGAAUCAUCGAAUCUUUGAACGCAUAUUGCGCCCAUUAGUAUUCUAGUGGGCAGGACCGUUCGAGCGUCAUUUCAACCCUUAAGCCUUCGUUGCUUAGUGUUGGGAGCCUACGGCAACGUAGCUCCUCAAAGUUAGUGGCGGAGUUAGUUCACACUCUAGACGUAGUAAUUUUUUAUCUCGCCUAUUAGUUGGACUAAUCCCCUGCCGUAAAACCCCCAAUUUAUCAAGGUUGACCUCGAAUCGGUUCAGACAAACUCGCUAAAUUGAAGCAUCUUAGUCAGCGAAGGAAAAGAAACCAACAGGGAUUGCCCUAGUAACGGCGAGUGAAGCGGCAACAGCUCAAAUUUGAAAUCUGGCCCUCGGGUCCGAGUUGUAAUUUGUAGAGGAUGCUUUUGGCGCGGUGCCUUCCGAGUUCCCUGGAACGGGACGCCUUAGAGGGUGAGAGCCCCGUACGGUUGGACACCAAGCCUCUGUAAAGCUCCUUCGACGAGUCGAGUAGCU